GAAACUUCUGUUUGUUUCGCUCUUUAUAUAUAACGUAGAGCUUCUCGGUUUUUUACGCUUCUUCGAGAGAGAGAGAAAAAAAUCCCGUUUAGGCUCUGCAUCUCUUUUCAAAGAAACAGGGUUAUAACAAUUUUCAAUCACUUAAUUACUGUCAGUAUGUCAUACUCUAGAAGGUCGAGGUAUUCUCUUUCGCCUUCCCCAUACAGGCGAGACAGCAGGUCCAUAUCAAGGUCAAGGUCCGGAAGUAGGUCAAGGAGCUCAUCAAGGGACGUGGAGAAUCCUGGUAACAAUUUGUAUGUGACAGGGUUGUCACCACGUAUAACCAAGAAGGAACUUGAGAAGCAUUUUGCUGCGGAAGGAACGGUGAUUGAUGUUCAUCUUGUCGUAGAUCCGUUGACAAGAGAGUCUCGAGGAUUUGGGUUUGUUACUAUGUCUGCUGUUGAGGAGGCUGAUCGUUGUAUCAAGUAUUUGGACCGCUCUGUUCUUGGGGGUCGUGUCAUUACAGUGGAGAAGGCUAAGCGGAGGAGAGGACGAACUCCUACUCCUGGGAGGUAUUUGGGGCUGAGAACAAUACGUGGUGGAGGUGGUGGUGGUGGUGUGCAUCGCUGGACGCCUAGUCCUUCGCCUCGACGAUCUCCUAGUUACUCUCCUUAUCGGAGGAGCUGGAGUCGGUCUCCUUGUUAUUCAUCUGAACGUAGCAGGAGCAGGUCCUGCUCCCCUCGCAACCGCCGUCGACGGUCCUACUCGCGAUCUCGAUCCCCAUACCGUAGGUCCCCUGUGAGCAGGCGUGACAGGUCCAACUCACCUUAUUACUUGAGGCGUCGCUCACCAGAUGAUAGAUACUAUAGAAGGCACCGAUAUCGCUCUGUAUCUCGCAGCCCUGCUAUACGUAGGGCUAAGAGAAGCUCAAGGAGGAGCUAUUCAAGAAGCGUUUCCCCAAAACCAAGAAGGAGCUCAAGGAGGAGCUAUUCGUGCAGUGUUUCCCCUGCACCAAGGAGGAGCUAUUCACGCAGCAUGUCCCCUGUGCCAAGGAGGAGCUCAAAGAGAAGUUAUUCUAGAAGUGUUUCACCAAGACCAAGGAAGUACUCAAGGAGGAGUGGACAUUCACGAGACAGCUACUCUAGGAGCCGCAGUGCAAGUCCUACUUCCAGAUCUGUUUCAAGAUCUGUCACCCCAAGCUCAGGUUCUCCAUCUCAUUGAAAGUAAAUUGAUGUCCGUGUAAAUCGUUAGGAAAAAAAAUGAAGCUCGUGUAGAUAAAAAAGAAAGAGAAGAAAGUGAGGCUCCGGUAGGUAUGUGGAAUUUGUGGUUUGAGAGCCAUGUUUGCAGGUGUUAUGAUAAUUUCAUGUUUAUGGGGAGCCUGUCUUCUAUCCAGUGACAGCUUAAAACUAUCAGCGUCUUAGUAACAAGAGAGACACUCGUCUUUUAUCGUUUUUUCAAUGCAUGAUUGACAUGUUGUUCUAAGUGUUUCAUUGAAUGUGUGUAAUUGUUGUUACUGAUGUGUUUAAAUAUUCAAUAUUCGACGUCUGCUCGCGGACGUGUUGGUAA